rnacentral:rRNA from 1 species
CUAAAAGAUGAGGGUGCGGAACAUUAGUUAGUUGGUGAGGUAAUGGCCCACCAAGACUAUGAUGUUUAGCCGGGUCGAGAGACUGAACGGCCACAUUGGGACUGAGAUACGGCCCAAACUCCUACGGGAGGCAGCAGUAGGGAAUAUUCCACAAUGAGCGAAAGCUUGAUGGAGCGACACAGCGUGCACGAUGAAGGUCUUCGGAUUGUAAAGUGCUGUUAUAAGGGAAGAACAUUUGCAAUAGGAAAUGAUUGCAGACUGACGGUACCCAA